GCAAUAUUUUCACAGGCACAUUUAAAAAGAAAGGAAUAAUCUGAUCUCCAAGAAGCUAUGCCUUUCUCUUAUCCUCCGUUUCUUCUUUACUUAUAUGCAGGAUUUUCAGGAGUGCCUUUGAACUGUAUGAACUUAGGUCAGUAUUUCUGCACCCCACAAUCAGCAUGAAGAACAACCAGCUCUGACUCACCCCAUGCAGAAAACCCCCAUAGCACACGUGGACACCACUGACACCUUCAGACCCACCAACCACCUGUCCUGGUUUCAUCUGGGAGAGAGUUAAUGUUCUUCUCAGUAGCUGGUUUUAUCUUUUUCCUGAAUCUCCUCCCCAUCCCUCUGGUGAGGGAGGAGCGAGCGAGCGGCUGUGUGGUGCUUGGUUGCUAGCUGGAGUUAAACCACAGAACCACCCAAACCCCCACUGAAGUGCUGUGUAAUACUGCUGAGGCCAUCUGAGCUGUGGAGGCCACCAGGUUUCAUUGUACAGAGACAGCUUGUGGGACCCACCUCUCUGGUCUGCAAAGGAAGCCCACCCAGCUGCUUGUCUGGGGAAAGAGAUGUCACCUUCCAAAUGAGCUGCCUGAAUACCCAGCCAACCUUGGCUGCAGCGCAGAGCAGCAGUGGACUCCUGGAUGGUUCUGUGUGUGUCUGUGGUUUAGCAUAUCAACCUGUGCCAGAGCGGUGGCAGGAUAGCAUUGAAGAAUUAGCCUCACAGAAGAAUAUAGUCUAAAAGAAGAUAUCACUGAAAGGUCAGCUACAAGUCUCCAGAUGCCUCCUCCAUCCUUCCUUGCACAAUUUAGAGAUGUCACAUGGACCAGUGCAGGCUCAGGAGCCCAAUGGAGUCUUUUUAUAUAGAUUCCUGUGGCCGUCCACAUCAGCACUUUGAAGGUACAUGUUCCUCUUCCCUGCUUGGAUGGCUGCACUAUUACAAGAUGAUCUGUAGCUGGACUGCAUUUAGCAGACCUCUGUGAGGGAUGGAGGGAGCCAUGGGUGACAGAAAGGCACGCAUGCACAGACAUAUAUGCAUUGUGUAGGAUCAAUUUACCAUUUCAUAAGUCGAGCAGCUGCAGCCUGGUUUGAAUGGGAGGAUGAGGUGACAGUGGGACCAUUCCUUACAUCAUCAGUUAUCCCAAGCAGAAAUCACAAGAAGGGAUAAAGCUUCAAUGGCUUUGGCCUGCUGAGUCUGCAUCUACUUACAUUCUUGCGCAGUUUCAAGAUCUGAAGCUUUAGAAAAACUACAAGUACUGCAAGACUGACGCAUAUUCAUGAGCUGACAGCAGUGUGAAGAUGCAUCUUAUGAUAUGGUAAUUCUUUGCUUCUCUGGGUUUGUACUGGGAGGUGUCACAGAUGGUUGAGGUUGACCUCUGGAGGUCACCUCAUCCAACAUCUCCUGCUCGAGCAGGGCCACCUAGAGCAGGUAGCCCA